AACGAACGCUGGCGGCAUGCCUAACACAUGCAGGUCGAACGAGACCUUCGGGUCUAGUGGCGCACGGGUGCGUAACGCGUGGGAACCUGCCCUUAGGUUCAGAAUAACUCCCCGAAAGGGGUGUUAAUACCGGAUAAUGUCUUCGGACCAAAGAUUUAUCGCCUUUGGAUGGGCCCGCGUUGGAUUAGCUAGUUGGUAGGGUAAAAGCCUACCAAGGCGACGAUCCAUAGCUGGUCUGAGAGGAUGAUCAGCCACACUGGGACUGAGACACGGCCCAGACUCCUACGGGAGGCAGCAGUGGGGAAUAUUGGACAAUGGGCGAAAGCCUGAUCCAGCAAUGCCGCGUGAGUGAUGAAGGCCUUAGGGUUGUAAAGCUCUUUUACCCGGGAUGAUAAUGACAGUACCGGGAGAAUAAGCUCCGGCUAACUCCGUG
rnacentral:rRNA from 1 species